CUUCCCUCUCCCCUUGCCCCUUCUCCCUUCCCUCUCCCUGCACCCUCCCCCGGGGCCAUGGAAUCUUCCCUGGCACCUCCACACCCAUCCCCAGCCUCCCACGUGAAAAGGUCAGACGUCACAUGUUGUAUCUGUGCCUACAUAUCCUUUCUCUUCUGGCGAAACCCUUCAAGGUUAGCUCCAACUGACAGCCCCAGCUCCUCCACUUGCUGGGGAAACCGUCUCCAUAGCAACCAGUUUUGCUGCUUCGUCCCGCCUUCCUUCUUCCCCCAGAAGCCCGGGCCCCUUCAGCAUCCAGCCACCUGAGCUGCUGCUUGUGUCUCGGGGACAGACAGAGCGGCAGCCUAGAUGAGUUGGCGAGACCGGGCCCAGGGAAGGCCCGGGGAGGGCUCACCUCGCUUCUGGGCUGUGUCAUCAGGACCCAGCCGUGCCAGGCAGAGGUGAGAGGAUUUACUGGGCCCCUGGCUGGGCGCAGGUGGAUGGUCUUGAGCUCGGAGGUGAGUGCACGGCCCUGACCCGCUUCAGAGAGAGACCGUCCUCUCUGGAAGCUUCUGACCUGCUCCCUUCCCUGCAUCCUUUGUCCUGGACUCCUGACCAGAUUGGGAACCAGUUACAACCCACCGGCCUCCUGGGUGUCCUUCGUCUCCACGUAUCGAAGCUCGCUGAUGCUUCUUGAAUCUGCAUUUCGUAGUUGCUCUCCUCUGUCUUCCACGCCAGCGGGCCUGCCUCUUCCGUCUCGCAGGCAAGCACUGACCUACAUUUCCACAGGCACCGCCGUCCGUGAUGCUGCCAACAUGUCAAGUGGUGUUUAGUGCGAUGGCUCCGCUGUGGUCUGGAUGCCCGGCCCCUCAGGUUGGCAGCUCUCCCAGGCCAGCGUCUUCC